UACGUAGGCAGCGAGCGUUGUUCGGAAUCACUGGGCGUAAAGCGCACGUAGGCGGAUUUGUAAGUCAGGGGUGAAAUCCCGGGGCUCAACCUCGGAACUGCCUUUGAUACUGCGAAUCUUGAGUCCGAUAGAGGUGGGUGGAAUUCCUAGUGUAGAGGUGAAAUUCGUAGAUAUUAGGAAGAACACCAGUGGCGAAGGCGGCCCACUGGAUCGGUACUGACGCUGAGGUGCGAAAGCGUGGGGAGCAAACAGG
rnacentral:rRNA from 1 species